UACGUAGGGUGCAAGCGUUGUCCGGAAUUAUUGGGCGUAAAGAGCGUGUAGGCGGUCCGGUAAGUCCGCUGUGAAAGUCGGGGGCUCAACCCUCGAAUGCCGGUGGAUACUGUCGGGCUAGAGUGCGGAAGAGGCGAGUGGAAUUCCUGGUGUAGCGGUGAAAUGCGCAGAUAUCAGGAGGAACACCAAUGGCGAAGGCAGCUCACUGGGACGGUAUUGACGCUGAGACGCGAAAGCGUGGGGAGCAAACAGG
rnacentral:rRNA from 1 species